rnacentral:rRNA from 1 species
UGGGUUACCCAUUUCCAGAUGGACCCGCGGGGCCAUUAGAUUAGUUGGUGAGGUAACGGGUUCCCCAAGGCGGACGAUGCGUAGCCGACCUGAGAGGGUGAUUGGCCACCACUGGGACUGAGACCCGGCCCCAGAUUCCUACGGGAAGGCAGCAGUAGGGAAUCUUUCGGCAAUGGACGAAAGUCUGACGGAGCAACGCCGCGUGAGUGAUGAAGGUUUUCGGAUCGUAAAGCUCUGUUGUUAGGGAAGAACAAGUGCCGUUCAAAUAGGGCGGCACCUUGACGGUACCUAACCAGAAAGCCACGGCUAACUACGUGCCAGCAGCCGCGGUAAUACGUAGGUGGCAAGCGUUGUCCGGAAUUAUUGGGCGUAAAGGGCUCGCAGGCGGUUUCUUAAGUCUGAUGUGAAAGCCCCCGGCUCAACCGGGGAGGGUCAUUGGAAACUGGGGAACUUGAGUGCAGAAGAGGAGAGUGGAAUUCCACGUGUAGCGGUGAAAUGCGUAGAGAUGUGGAGGAACACCAGUGGCGAAGGCGACUCUCUGGUCUGUAACUGACGCUGAGGAGCGAAAGCGUGGGGAGCGAACAGGAUUAGAUACCCUGGUAGUCCACGCCGUAAACGAUGAGUGCUAAGUGUUAGGGGGUUUCCGCCCCUUAGUGCUGCAGCUAACGCAUUAAGCACUCCGCCUGGGGAGUACGGUCGCAAGACUGAAACUCAAAGGAAUUGACGGGGGCCCGCACAAGCGGUGGAGCAUGUGGUUUAAUUCGAAGCAACGCGAAGAACCUUACCAGGUCUUGACAUCCUCUGACAAUCCUAGAGAUAGGACGUCCCCUUCGGGGGCAGAGUGACAGGUGGUGCAUGGUUGUCGUCAGCUCGUGUCGUGAGAUGUUGGGUUAAGUCCCGCAACGAGCGCAACCCUUGAUCUUAGUUGCCAGCAUUCAGUUGGGCACUCUAAGGUGACUGCCGGUGACAAACCGGAGGAAGGUGGGGAUGACGUCAAAUCAUCAUGCCCCUUAUGACCUGGGCUACACACGUGCUACAAUGGACAGAACAAAGGGCAGCGAAACCGCGAGGUUAAGCCAAUCCCACAAAUCUGUUCUCAGUUCGGAUCGCAGUCUGCAACUCGACUGCGUGAAGCUGGAAUCGCUAGUAAUCGCGGAUCAGCAUGCCGCGGUGAAUACGUUCCCGGGCCUUGUACACACCGCCCGUCACACCACGAGAGUUUGUAACACCCGAAGUCGGUGAGGUAACCUUUAGGAGCCAGCCGCCGAAGG